AGAUAAAGAACUUGAAUAAGUUUAUAUUUUGAAAAUAUAAUAUAGAAAAAAUAAUUUUUUAUUAUCUU
rnacentral:tRNA from 1 species